rnacentral:lncRNA from 1 species
UCUGCAGGAUUUACGCGCACGUUGGAACCGAAGAGAGCUCUGUUGUUGCAAUGUUCAGCCCACAAGAGCUUACUGGUGAAGGAAUGGGACAAGACCCAUCUUUAUGCAAAGCCAGCGUUACAGUAAUGUUCCAGCAUCUCAUAAUCUAUCCUGGGGAAUUCAGCUGCCUCCCAGGGUGAAUACAGGUAUUCCUGAUGACAGUCUGCCUCUAUCUUACAGAGCAGCUUGUUGCUAUAUACCAUUGAAAAGCCUUCAGAGCUGAGAGGUUAGUUGAUAUUUUUUGUUCCUUACAGCUUAUGCCACCAAGUAGGCAGUUUCUAUGAUGAAUCAAACUAGCUCACUAUGACCGACAGUGAAAAUACAUGAACACCUGAGAAACUGGAGAACGCAGGGAGUGGGGGGUAACCAUGUCUGAGGAAUCUUUCACCCACAGCUUUGUUUUUCUCUAGGUACUACUAACCAAUAACCUGCUUGGCUCAAAGGGCCAGCACCUUCUCUCUAAAGCCCAAGAGGAGUUUGAGGUAAA